rnacentral:rRNA from 1 species
GGCUCACCAAGGCGACGAUGCGUAGCCGACCUGAGAGGGUGAUCGGCCACACUGGGACUGAGACACGGCCCAGACUCCUACGGGAGGCAGCAGUAGGGAAUCUUCCGCAAUGGACGAAAGUCUGACGGAGCAACGCCGCGUGAGUGAUGAAGGUUUUCGGAUCGUAAAACUCUGUUGUCGGGGAAGAACAAGUAUGAUAGUAACUGAUCGUACCUUGACGGUACCCGACCAGAAAGCCACGGCUAACUACGUGCCAGCAGCCGCGGUAAUACGUAGGUGGCAAGCGUUGUCCGGAAUUAUUGGGCGUAAAGCGCUCGCAGGCGGUUCUUUAAGUCUGAUGUGAAAUCUUGCGGCUCAACCGUAAACGUGCAUUGGAAACUGGAGGACUUGAGUGCAGAAGAGGAGAGUGGAAUUCCACGUGUAGCGGUGAAAUGCGUAGAGAUGUGGAGGAACACCAGUGGCGAAGGCGACUCUCUGGUCUGUAACUGACGCUGAGGAGCGAAAGCGUGGGGAGCGAACAGGAUUAGAUACCCUGGUAGUCCACGCCGUAAACGAUGAGUGCUAGGUGUUAGGGGGUUUCCGCCCCUUAGUGCUGAAGUUAACGCAUUAAGCACUCCG